AUCUGGUCUGCCUCAUUCUCCAUGUCUGGAUCCAGAGGGCUUUGUUUGACAUCUUUAUUCUGUUGGAGAAAAACAUACAAGGGAAAACUGCAAUAGCAACAGAUUUUCAGUCAUUCAUCUGUACACAGCUGUCAGCACCAGAUGACUUCAAUCAAGCUUCAGGUAAAUCUCUGAUUCGCCGCAACAAUAGAGAAAGUCUCUGACACCCAGAGGAAAUCUCUGCGUGGCCUCGUUGGAGCUGAAUAUAUUCAAGAGGCUCGUUUUUUAAAAGCGGAGCAGACGCACCGAGUCCCAGCAGAGAGGACAGAGACGGGACACGCCGACGGGCAGAAGACGUGACAUCUCACAGGGACGCAAGGUGACCGCAGGACGAUGGUCGGAGGAUUCUUGUUAAAGGUGCAGAGUGGAGAAUUUAGUAAGAAUGGACUUGGCAGAAA